rnacentral:rRNA from 1 species
GCCAGAGCCAUAUCGCCCUGCAGCUCUCGCCUGGUUUCCCACUGAAGCUAAGCAGGGUUGAGCCUGGACAUGUACCUGGAUGAGAGACCUCCUGGAGAAAACUAAUGUUGCUGCCGGAA